GUCCGCGGGCGGAUCGUUCCGGAGCACAAGAAUCCGAUUAACCGCUUUCUGAUCUGGAUCUACCGACCAGUCAUUAAGGGCGUAAUGCGGGCGAAGACGCUGGUCAUCGUUCUCGCCGUCGCAAUACUCGCUGUCACCGUGUGGCCCGCGCGCCAACUCGGCACGGAAUUCAUGCCCAACUUGAACGAGGGCACGUUGCUCUACAUGCCG
rnacentral:misc_RNA from 1 species